UUUUUGAAAAAUGAUGAAAAGUAUAAAAACCUUUGGACUUUCUUUUAAAUUUUGAAUUUUUGGAGAAUGAUGAAGAAUUUAAAAAUAUUUUUGAAUUUUCUUUUUUCUUUUCUUUUUUUGAAUUUUUGAAAAAUAAAUGGGAAAAAUAUAAAAUCUUUUUGGAUUUUUCAUUUUCACUUAUUUUGAUUUUGGAAAACUAUGAAAGAAAAUGCGAAUAGACCCUAUUUGCUUCAUUUUUCACCCUUCUUUCCAAGACAUCGGUCCGCCAAAUGACCUUUUUACCCUCAUAGAUGCAACACUUAGCACAUAGGAUGAUUAAAUGUCAUUUCGGGCCACGGGCCCAUUUGGACAAAAUUUGGACAAGCUUCCUAUAAAGGGACACAGUACUUGGGACCAAGCCUUACUAGGUCUAAAUGACAUGAUGCAAAUAAGAAUGACCUAAAGCCUGACCUAAGUUUGGGGUUCACUAACAAGGCAAUUCGGGGGAACAUAUGGUCGAUGGUUGCUGCUCAAGCUUUCCACCCACUCCAUAUGUCCGACGGCCCCCUCUAUUAAAUUGAGGGUGACUCAACAAGAGUUCGUGCACGUGACGCGUGCUCCGAGAUUUAUUGCAGAAAGAAUUGACCGGGUAAUGCUUAUGAUGACAGUUAUUAAGCAGUAAACACAUAAAUCAAAACUGUAAACACAUAAACAACCAGCAAACAACAAAAUAUAAAACAUAAUAAAAAUUAAGUAAAGCUAACGAAAAAGCAUAAAAACCUCAACCAAAUAUUCUAAAAGCCAACAAUAUCAACUACUAGCUCAACCCGCAAGCUCCCCAGCAGAGUCGCCAGAGAUGUCACACCCUUUUUUUUAAACAAACCUUUACUAAACCCUCUUAAAAAUAAUAAAAAGAUUUUGUAAAAGCUUGAAAAGGAGUUUCAAUUGAAAAGUGACAAAAAAUCGUUUCAAAAGGAAAGUAACUCAGGUCACCACCUGAUAUUUGAUUUCGGUGUGCUAGGUCACCGUUGUUUCUAAAAAUAACCUUUUCUCCUUUUAAAAUACUUGGACUUCAAAAACUAAGUCUGUACCAGAGAUUCGGGUAAAGAGGUUCAUUGGAAUCGGGAAGAAGGUGUUAGGCACUCCCCAAGUUCCGUGAAGGUCACGCUUGCAUACUCAAUCUAGCUGAUUUUUAAAACAUUCAAAUUGAGGUAAAACACACAAAAAUAAAAAAAAACACAAGAAGCUCGAGGUCGUCCCCACCUAAAUGAAAGAAAAUAAAAAGAAAAAGAAAAAGAAAAGAAAAUUUCUAAGCUAACCUAUACUACGUCUUCUCCAGCAUGCUAGUCAAGGCCUCCAAAAUAUUUACAUAGUUCUUCAGGGCAUACCCCGUAUAAUAAUAUAUACAAGCCCCUCAGGGUACUCCCCGGAUAAAUUCAACUAGGGAAACGACCUCUUGCCUCAAAAUUAAAAGCAAACAAGUACAAAAAUCCUAAGAUUUCCUACCCAAAUGUUGUCGGCCUAAGCAUGCUCCUAUCGAACAAGAUAAUAAGAUAAUUAAAUAGAAAUAAAAUAAAAAUAAAAGCCUGUAACAAUUUUAAUUAUAUUUGACUUCUCCCCCAUUCCCACAACAAGAAUAUUCUAAAUCUAAAAGAUCAUUACUCAAUGUUCUUAAAGUAACAAACAAGGACUUCCAGAAUAUGAACCAAAAAAGUAAAGAAAUGAUUAAAAAAAAUUUCUGCAACUAUAAUAUGAAUAUUAACUUAAUACUAGCAAACACUAUUGAAGCCAAAAUGACGUAACUAGCCCACACAACCAGCAAACAUCAAACAAAAAAAAAAGUUCUGCAAUUAUAAUAUGAAUAUUAACUUAAUACUAGCAAAAACUAUUGAAUCCAAAAUAACGUAAAACAUCAAGCAAUUAACAAAACAAUUUAAUAAAGUUUUUUUUGAAAAAAAUUCAAUCUCCAAUCAAAAGGAAAGUAGGAAAAUGCUUUCAACUAGCCUGCUAUUCGAAUUCCCAAUUACUCAUGCUCAAAUAUGAAAGUACCAUAUUUCUCUAACACAACGACACACAAAUCUCUGAGAAUACCAAUUUCAAAAGCGAGCUAGCAGAGUUUCAAUACGUUGGAAAGCUGGUAAACACAAAAUAACAACAAAUGAACUUGUAUCCUAAUUAAAUGUUGUCUAAUUAGAAGAAUAGACUGAUUUUUGUUUGGGACAUUGGUGUAAAAUUGAAAACUAGAAGAGGACUGAUUUUCUUUUCUUUUGUAUAUGAAGAACCAAAAAAUCCCUAGGGAAAUAUGGAAAUCCAAUAUUAAAACCCUCGAGCUUUCUCACCAUUUUUUCCCUCUCUGUCUCACUCAACCCCCAAAAUUCUGUCCAAGACCCAAAUAUAUAUCCCUCUCCCGAAUCUUCUAUUUCUUCAGCAAGAAAUCGCCUCAAAACUGUGUGGUCCCCAAAAUCAAAUCCGAAAAUCCCCAUUUUUAACAAAAAUCAGAAAAGAAAGUCUUGGAUCAAAAUUUUAAUCCAAUAGCUCCUAUUUUCCAACAUUUAUUUCAAGGGCAAGGAUUUUUUAUUCAAACAAAAGAAAUUAAAGAAUAAAUCCUCUCGAAUCGGAUUGAAAUAAUAAAAUUCGUUGGGAUUGAAUAACGUGGAAGAAGUAGA
rnacentral:lncRNA from 1 species